rnacentral:lncRNA from 1 species
AAAAACCUCAGCCCACUACUAAUCUCUAGUUAAUUGCAAUAGAAAAAUACUUAAAAAAGAAAAAAGAAAAAAGCCAUAAAUGAAGAAAACAAAGCAUUAAAAGGCCAUUUUCCCGAGAAAGCUGCACUCGUCCCAUCACUUGUCCAUGCCAUUAUUACCCGACGGUUUAUCUUCCCAAAAACCACUUUUUCACCCAAAACGCUCCCUUGUUUCCAUAAAUUCAUUUCAUCCAAAACACUCUUCUCCGAUGCUUUAAGAUCCCAGGGAGCAAAUCGAAACCUUCCUCAAAGAAACUUCAGUUCGGUUCUCUGAUCCAAUCAUCUUCCAGUACUUUUACUGCAUAUCUUGGCAUCGAACCCUCCAGGUAAAACUCUUCCCUUUUCUUUAGACUUUCAGUAGCUACACUGUCGGCCAGUUUAUUAAUUUUACGACAAACAUGGUAAAACUUAAGGAAUCUAAAGUUACACUAUAAAGCCUUUAUAUAUUGGAUAAUAGAGCAAAUUUCGGAAUUGUCACUAGAGUUAGAGAUACAUUUCUUAAUAGCUGAUAGUGAGUACCCUUCAAUAUGAAUUUUACGAUCCUUAAGAUUUAACCCCAUUUUAACUGCCUCUAAACAUGAAUGGGCUUUUGCUGCAAAAGCUGAACCAGCAUUCUCAUGGAUGAUUACUUUGGAGACGAUUACCUUGCCCAUUCCAUCUCUAACAACCACUCCCGAUCCUAAUCUGAAAAGUUCACUAUUAAAGCCGACAUCAAAAUAAAUUUUGAUAUCCUCUCCAGAAGAGGGAACCCAUACUUCUCUAGUCACCUCUUUGGUAAGUGCUUUUUCCUCCAAGCAGUCUAACUCUCUUACAUACCUAUGAAUAAAAAAAGCCAUAUCCUCACUUGAUUUAUUUAUUCGUUCAUGCAGACAUUUGUUUCUCUUAGUCCAUAAGGCCCAAAGGGAGACACAGAACACUCGUUGCUGGGAGUUUGAGCAGACACUAAAAGCCCAAGUAAGCCAUUCGAACCAUUCUUGUAUAUUGCUUGGCAUUAUCCACUGAAGGUCCAGUAAACUCCAAACGUCCUUUGCAACAGGGCAAUUAAGGAAGACAUGUAUCAUAUUUUUAGCUUCUUUCCCAUAUCGUGGACACUCUACAUUAGUCACCAGUCUCUUACAACGUAGAUUUAGCAUAGUAGGAAUAAUUUUUUUGAGAUGCGCCAUACUAUAAUUUUAACUUUAGAAGGAAGUUUCAAACUCCAUAGCUUUCGAUAGAAAUCUCUAGAAAUGAGUUGUGAUGUAUUUAAUUAGGAGUAGAAAAACCCAACUGUAAUAGUUUAUAGGCACUGCACACCGAGAACAUCCCCGAUGGCUCACCUCUCCAAGCCAUUCAUCUUCAUGAGGAACUUUUGCCAGUGGGAUUCGAAGGUUCCUUCCCGCAUCAACCGCAUCAAAGGUAUUGGUAAUAAUUUCCGCUCUCCAUUCUCUAAUAUUAUUAUCAAUGAGCUCAACAACAAACUCCAAAUUACAAUUAUCAACUGGAUGAUUUAACCUGUAAUUAUCAGAACCUUGAAUCCAGGCAUGAUUAAAAAUAGAAAUAUUAUCACCCUUCCCCACCCUCUAACUCGUGCCUUCCUGAAGCACUCUCCUCGUUGCCCAUAUACUUAUCCACGUGUAAGAAGCAUUGUGCUUUAAACAUGCCUGUAAAAGAUCUGAAUUGGGGCAAUAUUUAGCUUUUAAAACUUUCACUAAUAAUGAAUUGGAGUUAGUCAUAAGUCUCCAUCCCUACUUCGCUAAGAGAGCCACGUUAAAAUUUGCGAAGUUCUUAAAACCCAAACCACCAUACUCCUUUGAGUCACAUAGUUUUUCCCAUGUGCAUCAAUGCAAACCACAUUUUCCAUGAAAUUUUUGCCACCAAAACCUAGCUAUUAUUCCCUUCAUUUCUUCACAUAACGUUUUAGGUAGUAGAAAAUAAGCCAUAGUAUAAGUUGGGAUUGAUUGUAAAAUUGUUUUAAUGUAGACUUCUUUCCUGUAUUGUGAAAAGAAUCAUGUACUCCAAUUAUCAAAUUUUUUUCUUCAUUCCAUCCUUUAAGAUUUUAAAAGAGGCUAUUUUCUUUCUACAGACCAUAUUAGGAAGUCCCAAGUAGUUUUUGGGAUUAUUUGAAUGUCUCACUCCUAGCUCAUUAGAUAUUUUUGCUCGUAUAGUUUCAAGAGUGUUCCUAUUAAAGAAAACCGUUGACUUUUCAAAAUUCACGUAUUGUCCUGAACAAUUUUUGUAUUCUUUCAAGAUAUCUUUCAAGACGUUUGCACCUCUUGUUGUAGUUCCCUGUAAAGAAUGCAGUCAUUUGCAAAAAGUAAAUGAGAGGCCACUGGUCUAUUUUGACUUGCCUUAACCCCUUUUAAUUUCCUCUGGCUAUUAGCAAGACGCAUAAGAGUAGAUAAUCUCUUGCUGUAAAUCAAAAAUAGAGAAGGGCUUAGAGGAUCCCCUUGCCUUAGUCCUCUUAUAGGUCAAAAAGAAUUUCCUCUCAAACCAUUAAUGUUAACUGAAUAGGAAACUUUUGAUAUACAAUCAAGCACUAUAUCAACCCAAGCCUUUGCAAAACCUAUUUUAGUCAUCAUUGCUCGAAGAAAACCCCACUCCAUUCUAUCGUAAGUUUUAGUUGUGUCCAAUUUUAGGGCCAUCAGACCUUUACUUCCUUUACUUUUUUAUCCUAAAGUUUACCAUAAAGUUAAAUUGAAUUUAGAUAUGAUAAAAAAUCUAAUUAGACAAUUAGUUAAAUACAAAUAGUUUGACCUUAAAGUUAGUGGUUUUGGAGAAUGAGAAAUUGAGACCCUAUUUUUGUAAGGUGGAUUAUAUUAGAAGUGAGUUGAAUUUUGGUCAAGUAACUUUUGUUGAAUUAGUGUUUAAUUAAGGUAUAGGGACUAAAUCAAAAAAACAUUAAAAGUUGAAUCUUUAAGGAAUCUACAAAUAGAAAAUAGAGUGAGAGCCUUGUAUAGCAAAUAUGCCACUUUAUAAGUUGUAGUUGUCGAUUUCUAUUUAUGUUAGUAAUAAAUUUUGGUUUAAAUAAGUUAUAAAAUAAAAAAUUCUAAUUAAAUUAAUAAAGGUAAAAAAACAUGAAUUAAAUGUGAAAGUGGGAAGAAAGAGACAACCUCCUUGUAUUCAUUUUUUUUCAUUCGAAAGUGAAGAAGAAAAAUUGAGGGACGAAUCAUAAGUUUUUUUUAAAUUUUUAAAUUUUUAGAAUUUUGGGAACUCAAGCUAGUUGACCCAUGUCGUAUUUUUACGAUUAAAGUUUGAGGAUUUUACUAUUGUUGAAUAGUUAGAUUUUUAGGGAUUAAUUUGACAGAUUUUAAGUUGAGUAUUGAAAAAAAGACUAAAUUGUAAAGUUAAUUAUGAUUUUAUGAAAUAGGGAUUAAAUUGCACAAAUUUUUAAAUUUGGGGUAGAAAUGUAAAAUAGGAAGUUAAAAGUAGGCCUAGAAUGAAAUUGAUAUAAAAAUUGGUGAUUAAAUUUGAAAGUUAUGUUAGUCUUGAUUUUAGGGACUAAAUUCAAUAAAAUACAAAAGUUGUAUAAAAUAGCAAUUGAUUGUGAAAAUGGUUGUGUAUUGAUAAUUUUAUACGUUUAUAUUAAUCUAUAGCUAACGUUGACCCAGAUCCUUCAAAAAAGAAUAGAAAAGAUAAAGUUGUCGACAAAUAGCACAAGUUUACGGUCUGUAUUUUUAAAUCCAAACCUUUUCAAUUGUUGCAUUCACAAACUGCGCAGUAUGGUAAUAACAUAAGGUAAGCUAGAAAUGAGAGGACAAGAUAAAUUGAACUGAUUCAAAUUAGUUGUUUGUGAUAAGACUAAAUUGAAUAGAUUUGAAAAUAUGAUAUAUUGUUAUAAGUGUGCAAUUGAUUUCAAUUAGUGAUUAAUUAUGCUGUUUAAUGAUUGAUUGAUGAAAUUAUAUUGUAGAAUUGAGAAAUUGAGUAUAAAUGAAAUUAAAAUAAGGGUGGAUAGUGGAUAUCAAUUUAUAAGCUUGGAAUUAUGGAUUUGAUAUUUUAUGAUUUAAUCAAUUCGAUUAAGACAGAGAAAAAUCUAUCUUGCAACUAUGAUAACUCGAUUUAAGAUAUGUAAAUAUAUUGAAUUAGGUGAUAUAAUAGGAUUUGUAGAUUGACAUGUUAAAACGCAUUAUAGAAUUUAUAUUAUGUUUUAAUACCACUGUGUUAUACUUAGCGUACCACUUUAUUUCCCAUGCUCAAGUUAGGUACCUUACGAUUUGAUUGUCGACUCCGCAUCCAGUGGCAAAUCCCAAACUCAAACAUUGGUGAUCUGUUUAUUUUGGUAUUGGUAUGUACCUAGGACGUCUUAUGUUUAUAUGGGUUAUGUUAGUAUUUUAAGAAAUUAUAUGUAUGUAACGCCUUAAAACUCUAAAUUUUUAAUUUUUGCAUGAUUUGAUAAAAAUUGCUUGUUUGCUUUAAUGGCUAAGUGAUUUGGGUGUGUAUGAGAGUGUUUGAGAAGCUUAGGUUCAAGUCUUGGUUUUCGUAGAAUUUUUAGUUUUUCCCUUAAAUAAAUCUGGACGCUGGUAUAUAGGCCUUAUAAAUAUUGGUACUUGUUUUAUGACACAAGGAGCCUAUUGGUUUAGUGGCAAGUGGCGUGUUGGACUGAAACACAGUUGGGGGGAUUUUGAUUGGAGUUUUGGAGGGAGUUGGAGAGUAGUAUGUGGAGAGAUUUAAGGAGGGAUAAGGGGAGGGAUUUGAGGAGAAAAUUUAGGAGUGGGUUGAGAGGAGAGUUGUGCCAUUUGGGAAGUUUUUAGCUUAGGAAACUCAACUGGGGGUUAGUUUGUACCGAAUUUGGUCUUAGGCACUUUGGGUAAUUGGUGUUUUUAGCUACUUUUGCUGUUGUAGUGCUGCAAGUAUUGUAGAUUAUCAGUAAAGUUAUGAUAAUCCUCACUCUUUGAUUUAAUUGGUUUUUUUCCAUUCUUUUUCUUUAAGCUGAAUACCUCUCUUGGCCAUUAUUAUGGCCUAAUUUAGUUUAUGAAGAUCUGUGUUGUGGUGCAGGUAAUUGAUAAGUGGGUGACCAUUUUUGGUUGGAGGUUUUGGAGGAGUUAAGUCACCCUCUAUCAAGCAAGGUAAGGAUGUGUGGUUUUAGUGUCAUUAAGAGGGUGUCUUGUUUUACAAGAUUGACUUGUGUCUUGAUUAAAUCUAGGUUGGUGUACGUGAAGACUUGCGCUCUUCUCAUAAAUAGGUGUGCAAUCACACCCCCACUUUUUUUGCAAAUCAGCAAAAGUUGAAAAGCUGAAUAUGACGGUGUUCGAGGCCAUAUAAGUGUACGAAUGCUCGUAUGGUAAAUCGAGCCCACGAAACAUUGUGUUGGAUUGUAAAGGCCUCCAUAAGAAUUUUAUGGGCUUAUGCCGUAAUGGGCCACGUUGGGCCGAAAUUGACCGUGUGGGUCCAGUGGGCUCGUAGGUCUCACAUGAAUGAAAUUCAUGAACUGUAGCGAAUAUUAGGUUCAGCUUUAAAGUCCCCAAAGCAAUGGCAGAUUUUGGGAUGAGCA